GAAACAAUGAAGCCUUUAUAACACAAUAAUCCAACCAUCUUUCUAUUAACUAUCGUGUGAAUUUCCAAGGCAACUUCCCUUCAUGAGGGAAAAUAGGUUUUGAAGGGCCCCUGAAACCAACAAGAUAGAACAACCAAAAAAAAAUAGAGACUAAUCCACAAGACAAGAGGAUUAUUCAUCAGAUGGCAAAGAAAAAGCUUCUUAAAGAUCCAGUGAAACCCAAAAGUGAAUUUGAAAAGAGAAUCCAUUGUCUUUUCAAGAAAGUUCAUGAAUUGUCUGUUCUUUGCAGAGCUCAGGUGUGUCUGAUUGUUGAAGAUGAUAAUAAUAAAACUUCAUAUUGCUAUAAAAAUGAUUCAGGGAGACAUUCUGAGUUCACUGCUCUUGAAUACAAGAAGCUCAAUGUUGACAAUGAUAAGGUGAAGGUUUACAAUCCUUCAACAGGGACAUUUCAUAACAAGCUUGAAAGUAAUUUUCAAUCUGCACAACCAGGGAAUGAAGAUCACAUGUUGCCCAUGGAAUAGCUUGAAAAGUUUCUUUUGACGUGGAGGAUGGACCUAAUCCCUCUCUUCUUACAUAUGAGUUUCAGAAUUGUACUUCUUCAAUUCUUACUACUGUAAAUCCUUAUUAUUAGAUUAAGGAAUGUAUUAAAUAAUGAUUUAAAAUUGUUGCAUAUAAUGUGUACUUAU